CUUUAUGAUGAAUCCCAUUGAUAGGGACAUCUUAUGCCACUGGCGUAUGACGAAACCUUUGGGUUCAAGUAUUUGAUAGAUGCUUCGAGAUCUGAUA
rnacentral:snoRNA from 1 species